UCCCCCUCUAACUUCCCUUUUUUAAAAAAAAUUGUCAUUCUUCCCUAUCACACAUUCUAAUUUCUAGGUGUUCCUAUCUGCCUGGAAGUUUCCCAAGGAACUACAAAAUCAAGAUUGUUGUAGAUUUUUGUAUUGUUUAUGCCAACUUCUGAUCGAGCUGCUGUGUUCAUAACAUGGUACUUUUAUGUUUGUACAUCCACAGCUAAGCCCAUUGCUUAAGGACGCUGUCUUCAAGAGAACAUUUAAUAUUGGUUUACAGAAUCCUACUGUCUCUCAGAUGAAGAGUACUUUUGCAAAAAUGAGGCAAUUUGUCAUGAUCCCCUCUGUGUCUAUUUAGGAGAUAUAUGAUGGCAGUCACUGGUAACAUUCCUCAGAGGUGCUGGAGGCAUUAGGAUAACAUCUGAAAGCAAGAGAAAAACAAACCAACUAACCGUCUAACCAUGAAAAGAGCACAGAGUCUUCUGGAAUGAGACACACCCACAAGAUAGAUGUACUUAUACACUUCUGUUAAAGAAGGCAAGCAAGCCCUUUUGGAAUUAAUAAGCAUUAGCAAUAUCUCACGGUGGGAGAAAGAAGCCCAGCUGUCAACUUUUCAGUGGGAUAUCUACAGUUCAGAGCACAUCAGUCCACAGUCAGUGCGCAUUUUCUAAAGAAAUUUCAUCUGCAUAGCCUGUUGCUGACCAUAGAAAGCUCUUCCAUGGAUAUUGCUGUCAAGGAGCUGCUCUAAUUAUCCCCCCCUGCACCGAAGCCAACUCACAACAUUGUGCUGGGUAAGUGGAUGGUGAGAUGCAAUGCAGUAUGGCAUGUGACAUAAACAGCAUGUCUUAUGCAACGUGUAACUUCACAGAAAUGUGAUUACUUGAUCUGGCCAGAUCUGAGUUUGAUUCAUAACCAAAAAGUAAUCCAGCAUCAUUCACAUCCUGUAGUAAUGAUA
rnacentral:lncRNA from 1 species